UGUACUGGGGAGCCCAGAACUGGACACAGUACUCCAGGUGAGGCCUGACCAGGGCAGAGUAGAGGGGGAGGAUCACCUCCCUUGACCUCCUGGCCACACUCCUUUUAAUGCACGCCAGGAUCCCAUUGACCCUCUUGGCCAUGAGGCAGACUGCUGGCUCAUGAUGCCAGUGGCAACCCC